AUCGCUUCUCGGCCUUUUGGCUAAGAUCAAGUGCAGUAUCUGUUCUUAUCAGUUUAAUAUCUGAUCCGUCCUCUAUCCGAGGACAAUAUAUUAAAUGAAUUUUGGGAAUAGGGAGAUGGAAUAGGGGCUUGCACACAUAUAUAUGAUUUUAA
rnacentral:snRNA from 1 species